GGUUCACAUUCUGAAGUUUAUGAUAUGAGUUUGGAGCAAGAUGGGAGUUACAGAUUCCAACCAAUGAAAAGUGGUCAACCUGAAUGAUAUGGCCUGAGUUAAAUCUCGAGAGGAGUCAUUUUAGUAUUGCCAUCAUAUUGGCUGAAGAAGGAAAUUUCAACUUGACUAUGUAGUAGAAUUGCUGGAGCUGAUCUGGAAUGGCCACCCAGAUGGUGUUUUUGGCUGAUGAUAAUUCCCUCAUAGGCUGGUUAGCUGAGUUGGAUGCCUUUCAAGUAUGUAUGUUAUACAUUCU
rnacentral:misc_RNA from 1 species